CUGCAGAAAAUGGCGUGAGGGUGCACGCUCCUUUGGAACUACUGACCCUCCUAAACCUGAUGUCAACUGCAGCAUCACCCGAGAAAUCUGAACUUCACAACCCCAGCAAGAUAUUUGAACUUCACAACCCCAGUAAGAUAUUGGAAAUUCUCAACCCCAGCAAGAUAUUUGAACUUCACAACCCCAGUAAGAUAUUUGAACUUCUCAACCUCAGCAAGACAUUUGAACUUCUCAACCCGUGGAUGAUUUCAGCAGUAACCUCAUAACACUUCUAUUGGGCAAGUAGUUAGUUAAACCAAGACAACUAACAUGAAGUAAGUUAAUAUUUCUUCAUGUAUUCCUUGCUGUGUACUUUACCUUCUGUUACAUUUGUUUUAUAUAAAACUGGUGUUUAUAAGAUUUAUAUUUUGGGAACAUGUUUGUGUGUGGGUGUUGCUCAUACCUGCGUGCUGCUCAUACCAGGAUGCUACCCCUGGGUGCUGCACAUACCCGGGUGCUACACCUGGGUGCUGCACAUACCUGGGUGCUACACCUGGGUGCUGCUCACACCUGGGUAGCACUUGGGCUAUCAGCCUGGGUAGCACUGGAGCACUAUCAGCCUGGGUAGUGCUUGGGCUAUUAUCAGCCUGGGUAGCACUUGGGCUAUUAUCAGCCUGGGUAGCACUUGGGCACUAUCAGCCUGGGUAGCACUGGGGCACUAUCAGCCUGGGUAUCACUGGGGCACUAUCAGCCUGGGUAGCAUUGGGGCACUAUCAGCCUGGGUAGCACUGGGGCACUAUCAGCCUGGGUAGCACUGGGGCACUAUCAGCCUGAGGCUACUGUCACCCUAGGUAGUACUGUCCUGCUUAAUGUAUGAAACUGCCUCUUUCAAUUAUUUAAACUGCCAACCAUAUUGUUUUAAACCAUUUUAUACUGCCAAGUGUUUUAUAUCUUCUAAUGUUUUAUACCUUCUAAUGUUUUAUACCUUCUAAUGUUUUAUACCUUCUAAUGUUUUAUACCUUCUAAUGUUUUAUAUCUUCUAAUGUUUU